GACGAACGCUGGCGGCGCGCUUAACACAUGCAAGUCGAGCGAAUCGGCGGCCGGGUGAGUAACACGUGAGUAACCUGCCUUAGACAUUGGGAUAGCCUCGGAAAACCGGGAUUAAUACCAAAUGGUCUAAGAUGGACUCGCGUCCCAUUAGCUAGUUGGUGGGUAACGGCCCACCAAGGCGACGAUGGGUAGCCGGACUGAGAGGGUGAACGGCGACAGUGGAGCUGGGAAGCAGUCGAAAAUCUACGGGAGGCAGCAGUGGGGAAUAUUGCACAAUGGCGGGAACGCUGAUGCAGCUACGCCGCGAGAACGAAGAAGGCUUUCGAGACGUAAAGUUCUUUUAUAUGGGAAGCGGUACCAUAAGAAAAAGCCCCGGCUAACUACGUGCCAGCAGCCGCGGUAAUAC
rnacentral:rRNA from 1 species